rnacentral:lncRNA from 1 species
UUUUGUCAAAUGGGGAUUCAAAAUCAUGAAAUAAUUAAAUCGGGCCCAAACAACAAAUAAUGCAUGAGUGUAAGUGCAAGAGAACCGGAUCAUUGUAAGAAAGCCCAAGAGUAAGCUAUGUGAGGUUGAUGGCGAUGCUUAAAAAGCAAUCGACUUACAAGGGUGUGAAAAUGGGCUCGAUAUUGAAUCGAGAAAAGUGUGAUUUUUAUAAAUUUUAAAAUGGUUUUGAAUGAAUGAUGCAAUUAAAAGAAGACAAAAUCUAUGUUAUUAAACAAUAAUAAAAACUAUGAGUAAUAAAGCAUAAACAUAAAAGAAAAUAUUAAAAGAAAAAAAAAAUGCUACACAUAGGGGUAUCGAACCCACUACACUAAAGACCUAGAAAACACUCCUCUCCACCAGGCCACUUACCAACUAGUUGUUAUUUUAAUACUAACUUAAAUAUAUAAACUAAGAUAAAUUAAAAAAAAGAAUUAAAAUAAACUAAUAAAAAAAACUGGUGGACUACCCUAAUUAAACCCAGCCACUUGGCUGUUGGGUUUUAGAGGCUAAGGGUUGGGAACAUAAAAUAGCACUCAACUAGAAACAGAUACCAAUAAACCACAGUUAAUGACUACUUAAAAACUCUAAACAUUCACUUAAUGGGAUUUAAAAGUCUGUUUUAAAAAAAAGGAAUAAAGCAUUGAAUAAAAAAAGAAAAGAAAAAAAAGUGAGGACGCAAAACAGAGCUCAAUCGUCCUCCCCUCUCAUUCGCUUACCGCUCACGAACUCUCUCCUCAUUCAUUCUCUCAGGUUCUCUCUUCAAUCGCUCUCCCUCGCAUACCUACCGCUUACCCAUCGCUAACCUCACUCACCUCCCUCACAAUCUCAAUCAAUCGUACAUGAAACAAAAACGGGAAGCU